AGAAGAUUAACUAGAGAAUCAUCAGUCAAUACAUGUGUAUGAAAGACUUUCUGUGCUUACAGUAUUGUGGUAACUACUUUUUUUAUGAAAGAAGAAAAUUAUAAGCUAUGAUAUGUUCAGACAUGCUAAGUGGGUAAAACUGUCUUAUAAUUGCAAAGGAAAUCAUCAAAAGCAGAGGCCAUUGUGUGCACUUGGAGAAGAUGGAAUUUAAGCUGGGCCUUGAAGCACUGGUUGAUUUCUGAGAAGCAGAACACAUAUGUUUCAUCAGAAAGAAAGCAAGGAAUAUGAAGAUGAAGUAGUGGAGAAUCUGUUGCCUUCUGAGAUGGAAGACAACUUGAUAUUUCACUGCCUUGAUUUUCCUGGUAGUUAAUUUUAAGCUAUGUGACACAUGAGAGCAACGAAACGGC
rnacentral:lncRNA from 1 species